rnacentral:rRNA from 1 species
CCCUUAGAUGUUCUGGGCCGCACGCGCGCUACACUGAUGCAGUCAACAAGUUUAUUUCCUGCGCUGAAAAGUUUGGGUAAUCUUUUGAAACUGCAUCGUGCUGGGGCUUGACGAUUGCAAUUAUUUGUCACAAACGAGGAAUUCCUAGUAAACGCAAGUCAUCAUCUUGCAUUGAUUACGUCCCUGCCCUUUGUACACACCGCCCGUCGCUCCUACCGAUUGAAUGUUCCGGUGAACACUUUGGAAUAGUUCUUAUGUGAGGGGAAACUCUUUGCUUGGAUACUGUGAAGUUGUGUAAACCUUAACAUUUAGAGGAAGGAGAAGUCGUAACA